rnacentral:pre_miRNA from 1 species
AUUGCACUUGACGACGGGAACCGUGCUGAUGUUGACCUCGGUGAUAGGACUGAACCGUUACAAGCUAUCACCGGGUGAACAUUGGUACUGGUCCCUUAGUCAUGA